CCUCACAGGGAUUGGUAGCGGCAAAACGGCGAGUGACAGCUCUCUGGAAAUUUGAAACCCUUUCGGGGUCCUUUGAGUUGUAAGUGUUUUAGAGGGCGGGGGUCUAACGCGGCGCCGUCCAACCUUGGAGGGCGUCACAGAGGGUGAGAAUCCCGUAUGUGACCGGUGACCAACCCCAUGUGAAACCCCUUCGACGAGUCGAGUUGUUUGGGAAUGCAGCUCUGGUAAAAUGGGAAAUUGCUAUCAUCUAAAAAUACCGAUCCGGCCAGAGAAGCGCACAAGGAUAGAGUGAUCAAGCACUUAUGAAAAGUAGUCAAAGGAAAGAGCAUGAAAUUGGUACGUUGAAAGGGAAGCGACCAGCUUGCAACCGGGCGCUGUCCGUCGUUCUCUCAGCCUCGGGGCUCGUCCGCGCAGCGAUCAGGUUCGGGCCAGCAUCGGCGGGGGAAUGUAGCUCCGGGACAAAGGCCUUCCCUCGGUUAGGGGAGUAGCCCUCGGCGCCUGCAAUGCAGCAGGACCGGACCGCCAUAGGACGCUUCGGCUGCUGUUGUGCGUAAUGGAAGCGACCCGUCUUGAAACACGGACCAAGGAGUCUAACAUCUAUGCGAGUGUUUGGGUGUCAAACCCAUGCGCGCAACGGAGGUGAGAACCCCCCGCGGGGCGCAUCAAAUGAAAGUGUCGACCGAUCCAGAUGUCUUCGGAUGGAUUUGAGUACGGGACCCGAAAGAUGGGAGCAUAGCUGUUUGAACUUAGGAUGCCUGAAGUGAAGCCAGAGGAAACUCUGGUGGAGGCUCGCAGCGGUUCAUCGAUCGUGACGUGCAAUCAAAUUUGGGUAUAGGGGCGAAAGACUAAUCGAACCAUCUAGUAGCUGCCGAUGGUUCCAGUUUCCCUCAGGA
rnacentral:rRNA from 1 species